CCUUGAGGCCCACUCCCUUCUCCCUGAUCCAAUCGCUUGGCCCUGCCCCCGCAAGCCACUGAUUUAAAGUCAAAGAACCAAAAUGGGUGGAGCCGAAGAAGAAGCUGUGACUGAAACCCCGGAAAGUGGACCCUUCCAUUCCCGGUCUCCUCCGCCUCCAACACAUACUCCACCCGGACGUCCCCCAAAUGGACUGUCCCAGGCCCUAACCCGGAAGAUUUUGCAGAGAGCAAAGGCCAAGGGACCCAUCUCCUUGCCUCAAAGUUCCCAAUCCAGGAGAGGGCUGAAGAUGUCGGUAAUUGGACAGCAUUGAGGCAACGUCUGUGAAGAUACAAACUGGAAACCUCCUCCACUGCAAUGUCAGUUCCACCAAAGCAGGAACAUGGGACUUUUAGUUCCUUGAUGUCUCCCCAGUGCCUACAGCAGCGUCCAUCAUUUAUUAGGCACUCUUUAGGUGUUUGUUCAGUGAGUGACUCCUUUGACUCAGCAAUUCCACUUGUAAGAUUAUGUGCCAAAGAAACACACGUGUGCACAAGGAUGGUACGAACAAACUGGGCGGGGGGGGGGGAUACUCUAAAUGACCGCUUAUAGCCAAUGAUUUGCAGAGUAACAUUAAUGACUGGGGUUCAUGUUAUAUCACAGAUCUGGACAUGAUACAGAAUGUAUGUACCUGCAAGGGCGAGUGGGAGCGCCUUCUACAGGGAAAAACAGGUGGAAUGUGCACUUGGGCCGAAAAAGGACGCAACUCCAAGAGGCUAGUGCCUGAUCCCUGUUGAAGGAAUGGGGGCUGGGCUUUGCUUACCUCAGUUCUGACUCCAUAUCACUCUCAGGGCUGUCCCAGAUGAGUGGCCUUAGGAAGGACUGGCUCUGGCCUGGGAGAGAAUGAGCCAUCACUUUUAGCUUUAGUCAUUCAUUCACAUAUGCAAUGGGCUGACAUUUACUUUUAUUAUUUGAAUGAAGAUACAGUAAUAGGCUCAUCCAGAAUGACGUUGAGAAGGUAAGAAUCCCCAGAUCCUAAUGGUCUGUGGGGAGUCAGGGCUCAUGGGUCCACCUUCAUGGGGCCCAGAGUGAGGCCCUGACAUUCAGCUGGCCUUUGCAUGGCACGGAAAGGGGGUUCCAUGAUCGUUUGGGAAGAGCCCCUUGGGAGCCACAAGGAAAUCUUGGAGCUGGUUACUUGGCUAGAGUUCCGGGAUGUGCCAUCCAGAACAGAGGAGGGAAAAGGUUUCCUGCGAAAGGAUGGGGUCUUAACCCUAGGACCACACUUUAAGAAAGAUGAAAGGAGAGGUGCCUGUGUGGCUCAGUCGGUUGAGCGUCCGACUUCGGCUCAGGUCACGAUCUCGCAGUUGGUGAGUUCGAGCCCCGCGUCGGGCUCUGUG